GGAAAGACUUGAGUGCAGACGAGGAAGGCGGAAUGUGUUAUGUAGCGGUGAAAUGCUUAGAUAUAACCCAGAACACCGAUUGCGAAGGCAGCUUUCCAGACUGUAACUGACGCUGAUGCACGAAAGCGUGGGUAGCGAACAGGAUUAGAUACCCUGGUAGUCCACGCCGUAAACGAUGAUAACUGGUUGUAGGCGAUACAUAGUCUGUGACUGAGCGAAAGCAUUAAGUUAUCCACCUGGGGAGUACGUCGGCAACGAUGAAACUCAAAGGAAUUGACGGGGGCCCGCACAAGCGGAGGAACAUGUGGUUUAAUUCGAUGAUACGCGAGGAACCUUACCUGGACUUAAAUGUAGAUUGCACCGAGUAGAGAUAUUCUUUCCCUUCGGGGCUAUUUACAAGGUGCUGCAUGGUUGUCGUCAGCUCGUGCCGUGAGGUGUCGGGUUAAGUCCCAUAACGAGCGCAACCCCUAUUGUUAGUUGCUAACAGGUAAUGCUGAGGACUCUAGCGAGACUGCCACCGUAAGGUGCGAGGAAGGUGGGGAUGACGUCAAAUCAGCACGGCCCUUACGUCCAGGGCUACACACGUGUUACAAUGGCAGGUACAAAGGGCAGCUACAUAGCGAUAUGAUGCUAAUGUCAAAAGCCUGUCACAGUCCGGAUUGGAGUCUGCAACUCGACUCCAUGAAGUCGGAAUCGCUAGUAAUCGUGGAUCAG
rnacentral:rRNA from 1 species